rnacentral:rRNA from 1 species
CAGUCGCCGCGGGAAUACGUAGGUGGCAAGCGUUAUCCGGAAUUAUUGGGCGUAAAGCGCGCGUAGGCGGUUUUUUAAGUCUGAUGUGAAAGCCCACGGCUCAACCGUGGAGGGUCAUUGGAAACUGGAAAACUUGAGCGCAGAAGAGGAAAGUGGAAUUCCAUGUGUAGCGGUGAAAUGCGCAGAGAUAUGGAGGAACACCAGUGGCGAAGGCGACUUUCUGGUCUGUAACUGACGCUGAUGUGCGAAAGCGUGGGGAUCAAACAGGAUUAGAUACCCCGGUAGUCCCUGUCUCUUAUAC